rnacentral:misc_RNA from 1 species
UAUAUUAAUAACAAAUGGACAAAUUUCAUUUUCAAAAGCAAGAAGGGUAAAUAUGUAAUUUUAUAUUAAAAAUCAUUGUCUAUAUAAACUUCACAAAGCACUCUGCUGUCUCAAGUGGAUAAAGGUCUGUUAAAUAAGGGAUUAGUUGGUACUACUUACCACACACCGAGAGAAAAGUGAAUUACAGGAGCGAACAACUAUCCCAACGAAGUCGAAAUUCUUUUUAUCAUCCAAAUAUCAACUUCUUCCUUGAUUGUCGCCUUUAAACAUAAAAGGCACAAAAAUGCUCAGUUUGAAAACACCAAUUAAAGGUUGAUCAGACGAUCGAUAGAUCAAAGAAGCAAAAAGGGCAAAGCGAUAAUUG